rnacentral:rRNA from 1 species
GAUGAACGCUGGCGGCGUGCUUAACACAUGCAAGUCGAACGGAAAGGCUCCUGCUUGCCGGGGUACUCGAGUGGCGAACGGGUGAGUAACACGUGGGUGAUCUGCCCUGCACUUCGGGAUAAGCCUGGGAAACUGGGUCUAAUACCGGAUAGGACCACAUUUUGGAUGGUGUGGUGGAAAGUUUUUCGGUGUGGGAUGAGCUCGCGGCCUAUCAGCUUGUUGGUGGGGUAAUGGCCUACCAAGGCGUCGACGGGUAGCCGGCCUGAGAGGGUGUACGGCCACAUUGGGACUGAGAUACGGCCCAGACUCCUACGGGAGGCAGCAGUGGGGAAUAUUGCACAAUGGGCGCAAGCCUGAUGCAGCGACGCCGUGUGGGGGAUGACGGCCUUCGGGUUGUAAACUCCUUUCGCUAGGGACGAAGCGCAAGUGACGGUACCUGGAGAAGAAGCACCGGCUAACUACGUG